AGAUUGAGAUUCUAUAUAACCCACACAAUAUUCACAAUUAACAUUGCUAAUUAAGAAAAUGGCUUCUAAUAACAAGUUUUCAGUGAUUUGGGUGGGUUUUUUGGUUGCUACGCUUCUCCUUGGGAUGGCACUGGCAUCAAAGGAACUCCCUGGGACUACUUUUAACAUUCGUCUAAAUUCUUCUUAUCAAAGAGGUAUACAUCGGGUGGUUUUGAAUGGUCAGAGUUAUCCAGAGGGUGAUCCCGUAGGACACAAUUAUCCUGGACGUGGUCCUGACAAUGGUAAUUAACCGCUUUAGAUGAGUACCCAAACGGUGAACGAAUCAGUAAAAUUCACUGGUAUAUAGCUAGAGCUGGAUAUUCAUGGGGGUUUAGGUCGUAGUCAAGUUGGCACAGCCAUACUUGCUAAAUUCCCACCACAUGCCUCUGUCGAGUUCGAUCCUGGCCAAAGGAACGCAGUACCACCUUAAAAAAAAAAAAAAAAAAAAAAAAAAAAAAAAAAAAAAAAAAAAAAAAAAAAAUGGAAGCUGGAUAUUCAUGUUGUUGCUUUUUAGUAAUUAAAAUAAUUUCCUCGUUCUGCAUAAUAAUUUUUGCAGUUAUUAAUUAAUACUUAUUGUUGU